rnacentral:rRNA from 1 species
GACGAACGCUGGCGGCGUGCUUAACACAUGCAAGUCGAACGAUGAAGCACUAGCUUGCUGGUGUGGAUUAGUGGCGAACGGGUGAGUAACACGUGAGUAACCUGCCCCUCACUUUGGGAUAAGUCUGGGAAACUGGGUCUAAUACUGGAUACGACCGCCCUCCGCAUGGAGGGUUGGGGGAAGGUUUUUGUGGUGGGGGAUGGACUCGCGGCCUAUCAGCUUGUUGGUGGGGUAGUGGCCUACCAAGGCGACGACGGGUAGCCGGCCUGAGAGGGUGACCGGCCACACUGGGACUGAGACACGGCCCAGACUCCUACGGGAGGCAGCAGUGGGGAAUAUUGCACAAUGGGCGAAAGCCUGAUGCAGCGACGCCGCGUGAGGGAUGACGGCCUUCGGGUUGUAAACCGCUUUCGCCAGUGACGAAGCUAGCGUGACGGUACCUGGAGAAGAAGCACCGGCUAACUACGUG